GAGAACUAGUCACGUGCCUCUCCUAGAUUCAAGGAGAGCUGGGAAAAGCAGUCAGCCUAGGAAGAAGGAGACAGAGGCUCUAAGGCAGUUGUCAAGAAUUACUGCAGCCCAGAGAAAGGACGGGGAGAAUGACAGUGAUUCAUCAAGAAGACUUAUAAGCUGAUUGGGCAACUCAUGAUCAAAGCUGUUUAGCUACCCAAAGGGAUAGCAGGAUAAAUUACAGCCAGAAGAAUUAACAAUUUUGUAAUUGGCAUCUUACAUUGUGAAGGCUCAUUCCAGUCACCUGUCACUGAGCUUUUAAAGUUUAGGGGAAAGCAUUUGGCGGUGCCUGACUCUGUGUGUUCAUAUCUUGCUUUCAACAACUGAAGGAUGGGUUUCUGAGAACAAGGGUGAGAUACGUAUUUAUAAAUGAAAUCUUUUCCAUGGG
rnacentral:lncRNA from 10 species